UGGGGAAUCUUCCGCAAUGGGCGAAAGCCUGACGGAGCAACGCCGCGUGAACGAUGAAGGUCUUAGGAUCGUAAAGUUCUGUUGUUAGGGACGAAGGGCAAGGGUUAUAAUACAGCCUUUGUUUGACGGUACCUAACGAGGAAGCCACGGCUAACUACGUGCCAGCAGCCGCGGUAAUACGUAGGCGGCAAGCGUUGUCCGGAAUUAUUGGGCGUAAAGGGAGCGCAGGCGGGAAACUAAGCGGAUCUUAAAAGUGCGGGGCUCAACCCCGUGAUGGGGUCCGAACUGGUUUUCUUGAGUGCAGGAGAGGAAAGCGGAAUUCCCAGUGUAGCGGUGAAAUGCGUAGAUAUUGGGAAGAACACCAGUGGCGAAGGCGGCUUUCUGGACUGUAACUGACGCUGAGGCUCGAAAGCUAGGGUAGCGAACG
rnacentral:rRNA from 1 species